GGCGACCAGAACUAAACACAGAACUCCAGAAGAGUCCCUUGCCAAUGUCCUGUAUGACCUCACCAUCACGUCUCAACUCCUAUACUCAAAGAUCUGAACAAUGAAGACACCAAAAGAUAUUGUCUAUCUACUGUGCCUUGAGAGGUAGAUGAUGUGUCACCUUCUUGAAUCGCUCCAGCCCAUGUGGUGAAGAGUAUUAGAAGACGAGAAUUUGUAGCUGGGAAUCAACUGUCAGG